AAUCCCUACCACAACGAGCCAGGCUUUG
rnacentral:piRNA from 1 species